CAACAAAGGAGCCUUGUCCUUCCACACCUCAUCAAUAUACUGAACAAUGAUAAGUGACUCACAAACAGGUUUCCCAUCAUGGACAAGAACUGGGAUUUUCUUGUGAACGGGAUUCAUUUGAAGAAGCAAAUCACUUUUGUUCCUCAAAUCUUGUUCACUGUACUCAUACUUUACACCCUUUUCAGCCAAAGCUAUUCUCACUCUCAUACCAAAUGGACUUGACCAGAAAUCCAACAGGGUUACUUGAUCACCAGCCAUUCUUGAAGUGAAAAAGAAGAUGCUUGAAGCAAAGUUAGGCUUGUUUGUUUUCUUGGACUGCAAAAGCUGUGCUUUUUCAGCGUGGAAAAGCCAGCAUUUGUAGUGAGAAAGGGUGUAGCGGGUCAAUAUGUCCAGUUUUCUAGAGUUGACUUAUUGACUGCAUGACAAUGAUUUGUUCAUCAUGACCUGGUGGUCCACUUGGUAUAAUGAUCGGGUCACAAGUUAGAUGGAUUGACCUGAAUCAAUCAAAAAAAAAAAACAAACCAAUACAACACUUAUAGAAAACACCUAACUAGUCACAAUGCAACAUUUAUAUAAACUAAAUUUAAAUUUUAAACCAAUAACAUAAAUUUAAUUCAAUAUCCAAAACACAAAUCAAAUAUAAAUUCUAAAAUAUUGAAAACAAAACAUCCAAAACAUAAAUUCUAAAUUAACAACACAUUCACUUUUGUUGAAUGAAGACAUUAAGUUCUUCGGUGUCCAUAGAAGCAAACUUUGAAUCAAAUAUCAAUGGAAUUGAGUCAAUCUUGUCAAUACUUAAUAAAAUAUUAGCAUGGUCCUUUGAAAAUUUAUCGUCACAAUCAUCUUCAAUCUCAUUAAUAUUUAUGAUAUCUACAUUUAAAACACAAUUAACAAAUAAAUAUUAUGUGUUAAACAAUACUUUGUUUUAAAUAAUAUUUAUCACUAAAUAAUCAAUCAUCAAUUACCAUCAUCUAAAGUAUCUUGUAUGAUCAUUGUUGAUAGAGCUUGGUGAAAACUCUCUACUUCUUCUGUUAACAAAAUUGACGGGUCAUCUUCUACUACCACUAAAUUUUCAAUGUCACAAAUUGUCUCAAAAUUAAUAGGAUCAUAAUUUCAUCUUUUCCAAUAAUUCCUAUAUAUUAAAAGUGAAGGUAAACACAAUAUAAGUAUUAAUAAUGCUACUAAAUAAGAUAAAAUAAUAUUCAAGGAAUUAGAGAAAAGAAAAAUACUUUUGUUUCAAUCUUAGAUUGCAGUGGAUGUAAAUAAGGUCAUUAAGCCUUUGGUGCUCCAAUCUAUUUCUCUUCUUAGAAUGAAUAUGUUAAAAAAUACUCCAAUUUCUCUCGCAUCCUGAAGAACUACAAGUUUGACUUAACACUCUUAUAGCCAAAUGUUGUAGAUUUGGAGCACUAGUUCCAUAUGUCAUCCACCAUUCAUCUAUAUAAAAAAAAUAAGUAAGACUAUGUCAAAUAAUAUUUUUAAAUAUAAAAAUUAUAUACCUGGAGGCAUAAGGGUGCGAUUUUUUUAUUGCGGACGCUCGACCAAAGUCAUGUUCAACAUUCCUAAACAACUUCAUCUCACUUGUAAUCUUACUUUGCAAUGGUAGAUUUUCAUGUGCAUACUUCUCAAGAACAUCUAAAAAUCCAGAAAUGGUGCUCAUAUGUUUAUCCAUUAUAUUUACAUCAUAUUGAAAUUGAGGAUUCAACCAAAAUGCCGCUGCAUAAAGAUUUAUAUAUAGUUGUCCAUCCCACCGAUUAUUGAUGAUGUCUAUGAAAGGUUUCACUCUAGCCUUUCUCUUUUGAAAUCUCCUCAACAUUUCUUCUUUUGCAUAAUGAAUAACAUCAUACAAAUAUUCCAUUAAAGGUCUAUCAUCACCAUCAACCAUUCAUAGAACUCGAACUAAAGGUUCACUCAUUCACACAAUUAUUGCACAUUCUUCCAAAACAGAGAGUCUAGCACACUCUCAACAAACUUUUUUCCUUUGCUAUCUUUAGUAUAAGCAGAUGAGACCCAUUCCCUAGAUGUCACCAUAGCUCUCAACUCAUUUUUAUGAGCUAAAAUGCUUCGCAAUGCAAUGAAAUUGGUAGCAAAACGAGUAGGAGCUGAACGAAAUAUUUCUUUUCCUCCAGUGAACUUUCUCAUGAAAUACAAUUUUAAUUCAUGAAAGUUAAUGGUCAUCAUCCUAAUAGAAAUAUUGGACCUAUAAGUAGGCUAGUAUUUAAAUACUAAGAGUUGACUAGAAAAGUUUUAGGAUUAUUUUAGAUAUUUAUCAAUUUUAAUUGGGAGUAUUUUAUUACCACAAUAUACGAGUUGUGGAGAAGUAUUUUUCCUACUAGAAUAGGUGAACCUUAUUAGGGCACCUACAUAGACCCUUGCUAUAAGAAUUUAUUUGGGUGUAUGAGCCUAAAAUAAACUCAAGAUGCCAAAUUUAUUUAUGGGAGUAAAUCUUUAUUCAGAGCCAUAGACAGAUUAUCGGUUAGGAACCCAUCAAAAUCUUUAAAUCAUAUUCAGACUACAUAGUGCACCUUACCUCAUGUAAAAUAUGCUAGAAGUACUAAUACUUUUUGUAACCACAAUCAAUCUCUUAUCCUUAAAAUUUAUGAUAAAAUUAGCAUAGUUAUCAAACCCAACUUGGAUAAGGAGCCAGGUCCCGGGUUACACGGGUUGAACUGGGUCAACCUAGAAAAAUUAAAAAAAUAUAUUUGAAGUUUUAAUAUUUAAUAUGAAAAAAAUUAUGAAACAAUCCAUGUGAAUAUAGACUAUAUAUGUUAUAAAUAAUGAAGUUUAAAAAAUUAUUUCAAAAAGUUUUUUUUAUCUCAUAUUGAAAAGAUAAUAUGUUAGUAUGUUAUACUUUUAAGUUAAAGUAUUUAAACCAAAUUUUUUUUUUUUCACAUUGAAAAAACAUAACUUUUUUCUUGUAAACAUAAACAUCAAAUCCCAAAUUGAAAAAAUAAUUUUUUUUAUUAACAUAGAGUAUAUAUAUACUAAAGGGUUUCAAAUCCCACAUUGAAAAAAUAAAAUAUUUUAUUAUUAUUUAUAUAGUAAACUUUGAAAAGGGUUAAUAACAACUAAAAAAAAAUAUAAAAACGAGGGAUAUCUAGCUAGGAGAAAAAACACAUUUGAAAAAAAAAAAACAAGUCUCAUCCAGAUUUUGCUCACAUUGAAAAAAUAAAAUGUUAUUUUAUUAUUUUUAUAGUGAGCUUUGAAAAUGGUUAAUAACCAGCUAAAAAUAUAUAUAAAAAAUCUCUAACUAGAAGAAAAAACACAUUAAAAAAAAAACAAAUUUCAUUCAGGUCACAAAUUAACUAGAUUUUACUGGGUUUUCACUCAUCUUAAUUUUUUAUUUUACCCAAACUAGUUUAACAAUCAGGUCUCAAGUCGACUUCACAUGCAGGUCUAGAUUUAGUAACCAUGAAAAUUAUUACAUUCAAGUCUCUAAUAACCUCAAAACCAAAUAAUUAAAUAACAACUCCCAGAUCCGGAUAUCCCGCUACAUCAGGCAUGCACGUGUCACAAAGCUCAACACAAUCAUUGUCGUAGAAAGACCUGGAAUACUGUAUAUAUUAUAGAAGGGGAAGGAAACAAAACGACAAGGAAAGAGGCUUAUGAGAGCAUGAGGUCCUUGAUGACGUAAUUUAAUAUGUGAAUAUAGACUAUAUAUUUAUAAAUAAUGUUGAACAUGUCUAAAUGUUGAACAUGUCAUGCAAUAAAUAAGACGACUAGGAAACCCACCACGCUAACUCCCUUCAGCCUUUUCUUACAACAAAUACCAGCGUUUCCACUCUGUCAGACCUCAGCCUUUGGAGUCCAAGAAGCGUAGCGAUACUUCAAGCAUCUUCCUUUUCACUUCAAGAAUGGCUGGCGAUCAAGUAACCCUGUUGGAUUUGUGGGCAAGUCCAUUUGGCAUGAGAGUGAGAAUAGCAUUGGCUGAAAAGGCUGUAAAGUAUGAGUACAGUGAACAAGAUUUGUGGAACAAAGGUGCUUUACUUCUUCAAAUGAAUCCCGUUCACAAGAAAAUCCCAGUUCUUGUCCAUAAUGGAAAACCUGUUUGUGAGUCACUUAUCAUUGUUCAGUAUAUUGAUGACGUGUGGAAGGAGAAGGCUCCUUUGUUGUCUUCUGAUCCCUACCAGAGAGCUCAGUCAAGGUUCUGGGCAGAUUUUGUUGACAAAAAGGUAUGGCGUUUUUUUUUUCCUUGGUAAAUAAAUGGUUCGUCUUUUUUGGUUUUUGAUUUUGUUUUGUUUUGUUUUGAGGUAUGACUUGAUUAAACCCCCAUAGAAUUUGAUUGGUUUGAAAGAAUUAAAAUUUAUAUCACCACUACAAUUAGCCCCAAGAUUAAUAUCAAAUUAAGGAAGAAAUUAGAGAUCUCGACAUGGAAUGGUGGAAAAGUCUGUUUGAUGUUCAUUUCAAGUGUUCUAAUUGGGUGUGAUUUUUUUUUCCCUUUUAACAAAUUAACCAUUAAGGUUUCUGAUCAUUUCAUUUUUGAUGAACUAUUUUUCAUUCUUGUGAGUUCAUGAGAGUUAAAGUAGAUGUUUCUGUAUAAGGAUCACCAAAUUGAUUGGAUCCAAUUGCCUUAAGACGCACCAAGAUAACUUAAAAAAUGACAUAUUUAAUGCAUUAAAGACAAGUUCAUGAGAGUUAAAGUAGAUGUCUGGUUAAUAAAUAAAUAAAUAAUGUUAUUACCAUCUUUGAAUUUAUACUGCUUUGCAUUUCUAACCUCUCUAACGAUGAAUGGCUUUGCCCUCCUCUUUAGACAGAAAUGAAGCACUUGGACCACCUUUGACUUUUGUGAUUCCAAAAAGUCUAUGUGUGGUGAAUUGUUUUUAGAAGGAAAUUGUUUGUCUCAAGUUUUAGAAAAUAAUAUAGAUUAAAAAAAUAUUAGAAAAAUAAUAUAGUUGAAUAUAACCAUGUUUCUAAAUAUUAAUUUUCUAUACAAUUAUCAUUUCCGUUUAGUUAAACGAUAAAAUAUGUUAAUAAAAUUUUGGGGUUAAUUUUUUGUAUAUAUAAAUUAAUUUGCAUGAGAUAUAUAUUUUGAUUUUUAACUAAAUAACCGUUAUUUCUAAUAAUAAUAAUAAAAAAAAACACAGUUUUUUUUAAACUGUUCUAUUUCCAUCGGAUGUAUGUUUGCCAAAACUUUUACCUAAUUAUGUGUGGUGACCAUUAUACUAAUUUGUUAUGCAAUCGUGUGAUAUGAACCUUCAGUUAUAUGAGUUUGGGACGAAGAUAUAUACAACAAAAGGAGAAGAUCAGGAGGCAGCCAAGAAGAAUUUCAUUGACAGCCUCAAGCUUUUGGAAGGAGAGCUUGGAGACAAGCCUUACUUUGGAGGCGAGACCCUCGGCUACGUUGAUGUUGCACUACUUCCUUUCUAUUGCUGGUUUUAUGCCUAUGAAACCAUCGGCAACUUCAAUGUAGAGGCUGAUUGUCCAAAGCUGAUUGCUUACUGCAAGAGGUGCUUGGAGAAAGAGAGUGUAUCCAAGUCUCUUCAAGAUCCACAGAAAGUCUUUGAUUUUGUUGUGAUGCUGAGGAAGAAGUUUGGCCUCGAGUAGUGUUCAUCCAUAAGAUGUUGUGUGUGAUUUAUGUUUCAAAUAAGGCGGGCACUUAGUUGUGCCUGUAAUAUGUUUAUAUUCUGAGGUACUUUAUUGUGCCUGACAUAGUAUGUGGUUUUUACCUUUGUAAUGUUUCCCUUCAAGUAUAAAAAGGCUGGCACCUCUUUGUUCAACGCGUCUAUGCCACGCAGUCAAUAAGAUAACUCUAUAGUGGAUUUUCUAUGGAAGUGGGCUCGAGAACCUGGUGUAAAAAUUUGAUUACAAUCUAGUAGUCAAAUAUUUUGUUUUUGACUCUUUUAAUCACUAUUCUAGUUUAGUUUAUCAAACCUUCUCUUGAACUUAAAGUUAUCUUAUUGAUUCAUAAAUUCAUUUGUUAAGCCAUUAGGAACUCCUUAUGGCAUAUUGCUAUCCAAAUACUCAAUAGCUUCAAUUUCCUCGAGCCUGGAUACAUCGAUCUCCGAAUACUUUGAAGGAGAAGGAAAAACAAAAGGAUGAGGAAAAGGGCAAAUGAGAGCGUGGGUUCCUGGAUUACGUUAUCUGCUAGAAUGUUCAACACGUCUAUGCCAUGCAGUCAAUAAGACAACUCUGCAAAACCGGCCAUCCUAACUCACAUCAGCCCUCGCAUUUCCACAAUGACAAACCACAGCCUUAGUCCAAGAAAACAAAGAAGCGUUACUUUUUAUUAGAGAGAUAUCCUCUGCUGAUUGUGUAACUGAAGAGAGAUUUACUCAUCUCAAUCAAAACUGAUUGAGUAAUCGAAGAUCAGUUUUAAUUCUUAGUAAUUAUAGUUUUUAAUGCUAUUUAUAAUUCUUGUAACAGUCAAACAAAUUCUCCUAUAUAUAUAGCUGUAUAUUGUAAACUGAAUCAAUAAGAAAAAUCAUUUUCUACAUGGUAUCAGCCUAAACCUACGAUCCUCACCUAUUUCUCUUCUUUUAGCGUUUCUCUUCCUUUUCCCUUUUUCUUUCUCAUGGCCACCAUCUCUUCGGCUCUCUCUCAAAAUACUGCUCAAUUCACCAAACUUACUGAAACCAAUUAUCUCACUUGGCUUCGGCAAAUCAAACCUUACCUUCAUGGUGCCAAACUUUGGGGAUAUGUUGAUGGCACCAUUCCUGAACCAUCUCUCACCAUCCUGAAUACUGCUUCUGCUUCUACUUCUGACACUCAAUCUGCAAGAUCCAUUCCUAAUCCUGAUCAUGCUAGCUGGUUCAUCAUUGACCAACAAUUUGUUAGCAUCCUCACCACCACUCUAACAGAAAACAUUGCACAACUUACCAUUGGUUUCGACACAUCAAAGGCAAUUUGGGACUGUCUUGAACGUCACUUUUCCCAAAAGUAUGUAGCAAGUGCAACCAAUCUCAAAAUGCAACUUCUUGAUCUCAAUAAAGGCACUCAAUCUGUUGAUACUUAUCUUCGUCAUGCUAAAUCAAUUGUUGAUGCAUUGAUUUCUAUUAACAAGCCUGUUCCUGAUGAGGAUUUGGUCAUCGCCACUCUUCAUGGUCUUGGCCCUGAUUAUCUCAUGCUUCGUACUGCCCUCACUCAAAAUCCUCCACUCCCAGAUUUCACUGAACUUCGGGCUCGAAUUCUCUCUUUUGAUGCUCAACAAUCUCGUCCUGCUGAUUCUCCUACAACCAUCGCUCUUUUCAAUCACACUCAUGCUCCCUCUACCCGUCGUGAUCACCGCCCUAAUACUGGUCAUCAAUUUCCCACCAGUGGUCGUCCUAACAAUGGUCGCUUUAGACGUGGUCGCUAUUCUCAGCAGCGCGCCACUCCACAGUCACAGGUUGGGUUUUCAUUUCCUAUGCAACAGCAACAUGUGCCUCCAUCAGGGCCAUUUACUUCACCAGCUUGGGCUGCUCGUCCUCCACCAAAUGGUAUUCUUGGCCCAGCACCUCAAUGGUGUCCAAAUUGUCACUCAAGUCACCAUGGACUCUCUCAAUGUCCACAUAGAUUUUCUGGUCCAAACACUACCACUCCAUUUGCUUGUGUACAUUAUGCUGCUGAUCCAAACUGGUACCCAGACACAGGUGCAACUCAUCACAUGACAGCCAUGCCCAUCAAUAAUUCUCAACCUUAUGGUGGGCCGCAUAAUGUCUAUAUGGGUAAUGGGGACUCAAUGUCUGUUUCCCAUACUGGUAACCUCCCCUUUUCAUUAGGCUCUUCUACCUUCACUCUACAAAAUGUCUUCCGUAUUCCAUCUAUUCGUAAAAAUCUUCUAUCUGUUGCUCGUUUCACUAAAGAUAAUCAUGUUUUCUUUCUCUUUGCACCUGACUUCUAUCAAAUCUAUUGCUUACGCACUGGAUGUCUAUUGUUUCAGGGCCCUUGUAAAGAUGGUUUGUAUCCGCUUAAUCUAUCAAACGUCUCUACUUCUCCACAAGCCCUUGCUUCCGUUCACUCCUCCAUCUGGCAUAAUCGUUUGGGUCAUCCGUCAUCAAAUGUCUUUGCACAUCUAAGUCCUAUAAUUAAUUCCAAAUUGUCUUUUCCUUCUUUUUGUCGAGACUGUGCACUUAGCAAGUCUCACCAAUUACCUUUUCCUUCCACCAAAGAGACUGCUAGCACUCCUUUUCAUAUUAUACAUAGUGAUGUUUGGUCCUCCUCUACCAUUUCUGUAAGUGGUUUCAAAUAUUAUGUUCUAUUUACUGAUGAAUUCUCACGUUACACUUGGAUUUACCCUAUGCGUCGCAAAAAUGAAGUCCUCACUCAUUUUCAAACUUUAGUUGCCAAGAUUCAAAACAUCUUCCACCAAACCAUUCAAUUUCUUCAAAGUGAUAAUGGGACAGAAUAUGUCAAUAAUGCAUUUUCUCAUUAUUGUAAAUCCUUGGGAAUUCAACAAAGAUUUUCUUGCCCCCACACACCACAACAAAAUGGCCUUGCCGAACGUAAGCACCGCCAUAUUGCUACAAUGACUCGCAGUCUCCUUCUCACUUCCGGUACUCCACAUAAUCUUUGGGUUGAAGCUGUUUUAACCUCCGUUUACCUUAUUAAUCUUCUUCCCACACCCACUCUUCAUUGGGAUACUCCACAUACUCGUCUCUAUGGCAGCCCACCUUCCUAUUCCUCUCUUCGGGUUUUUGGAUGUUCAUGUUUUCCUCAUCUUGGGUCUUAUGUCUCCGAUAAACUUUCAAGUCGUAGCAUUGAGUGUGUCUUUCUUGGUUACAGUUCUCAACACAAAGGUUAUCGUUCUUUAGAUCCUACCACCGGUCGUGUCUAUAUUUCUAGGCAUGUUAUUUUUAAUGAAACAGUUUUUCCUUACAAACAGUUGCAGGCACAUUCAGUUCCCGAUGCUGGCCUAUUGGAAUUCACACUUUUGUCCAGCUCAGAGCUCCCACAACUUGCUCCUUCUAGUCCAAAUUCACCUGCUGAGAUGUCUCAACCAGAGCAGUGUGAAAUGGAUAUUGAAUUCCCGAUUACAGCAUCAUCGGCUACAUCCCAGUCUAUGGUGCCCACUGCCGCCCCCAUCCUCACUUAUCAGCGCCGACGUUCAUCACAUCCAGUUACUUCACAGAUAGCAUCCACCUCUCUUCAGCCAUCUGCCCCUGAUGCAACUGUUCCACAGCUGGUCUCAGGUGAUCCUUCUCCUGUCUCUAAUCCUCCAGCACCAUCAACAUCUUUAUCACCUGCUCCCUAGUCUCUUCCUGUGCCACCAAGAACUUGGUGCUCGCAUUCAAUUUCCCAUUCUCUUGCAUUGUGAUAACCUCAGUGCUACGUACAUGGCUUCCAAUCCGGUAUUCCAUGCCCGCACUAAACAUAUUGAACUUGAUUAUCACUUUGUUCGUGAGAAGGUUGCACUUGGAAGCCAUCGUGUUUGCUUUAUCCCUUCCAUAGAUCAGCCUGCAGAUCUGCUCACCAAGCCUCUUCACAAGAAUCGACAUGUUCUUUUUACUCGCAAACUUGUUCGUGCAGGCCCGCAAAGUUUGAGGGAGGGUAUUAGAGAGAUAUCCUCUACUGAUUGUGUAACUGAAGAGAGAUUUACUCAUCUCAAUCAAAACUGAUUGAGUAAUCGAAGAUCAGUUUUUAUUCUUAGUAAUUAUAGUUUUUAAUGCUAUUUAUAAUUCUUGUAACAGUCAAACAAAUUCUCCUAUAUAUAUAGCUGUAUAUUGUAAACUGAAUCAAUAACAAAAACCAUUUUCUACACUUUUCUUCAAGAAUCUUCUUUUUUACUUCAAGAAUGGCUGGUGAUCAAGUAACCCUGUUGAAUUUCUGGGCAAGUUCAUUUGGUAUGAGAGUGAGAAUAGCAUUGGCUGAAAAGGCUGUAAAGUUUGAGUACAGCGCACAAGAUUUGAGGAACAAAACUGCUUUACUUCUUCAAAUGAAUCCUGUUCACUCGAAAAUCCCAGUUCUUGUCCAUAAUGGGAAACCUGUUUGCGAGUCACUUAUCAUUGUUCAGUAUAUUGAUGAGGCGUGGAAGAACAAGGCUCCUUUGUUGCCUUCUGAUCCUUACCAGGGAGCUCAGUCCAGGUUCAAUAUAGAGGCUGAUUGUCCGAAGCUGAUUGCUUACUGCAAGAGGUGCUUGGAGAAAGAGAGUGUAUCCAAGUGUCUUGAAGAUCCACAGGAAGUCUCUGAUUUCGUUGUGAUGAUGAGAAAGAAGCUUGGGCUUGAGUAAUGUGCAUCCAAAGGCAAGGAGGUGCUAUUUCCUGUUGAGAAGUUGUUGUACUUGUGUACUGUGUGAGUUAUGUUUCGAAUAAGGGUGGCACUUUGCUGUGCCUGUAAUAUGUUUAUAGUUUGAGAGGGCACUUUGUUGUGCCUGAAAAUGUUGACUGAGGAUGUGGUUUUUCUUUGUGACGUUUGCCUUCAAGUAAAAAGACGGUCUUCGUUGCCCAUUGGUUCUUGAUAAAUAUAGAUAUUUCUCAUCUUAAAUUUACAAAAAAAUCAUUUUAAUUUAAAAAUUUAAGGUAUUGAUUAUGAUUUUAAAAAUGAUUUAUUCUACUUUUUAAUAUUUUUUGAGUUUGAAACUUAUAAAAAUUUAUAACUAUUUUGUAUUUUAUUUUAUUAACUUAAUAUUUGAUAAAAUUAGUGUAGUUGGAUUUAAUUUGUUGAGAAAUAUCUUAAUUUUAAAUUUUAAAUUAAUGGAUGAGAGGUAUUGCACAACUGGUUUAUGAUCAAUAAUUUAAUAAAAUGAUUAUUAAUAUAUUUAAUUAAAUACUUUCAUAGAGUUUUUAAUUUAUAUUUUGAAUUUUUUUAUGUGCAAAAACACACAUUGAAGCCAUACUUGAUUUUUGUUUUGUUUUGUUUUGUUUUUUUUUUAAUUUAUAAAAAAAUUACAACAUGUAACAGAACUAGUUUAAAUAAAUGGUGCACUUAUCUAAAACGUUUUGAACUUGAAGCUCUAUAAAGGUACGGUACAUUAAGGGAAAUAAAUAGUCUUCUUUCAAAUUCAAUUUGAUUGAUGGGAAAACAUUUUCUAUCAAAAAAUCCUCUUUAUAUUUUGGCAAUCUAACCUUCUUUUCUUCCAACCAUUUUCGCAAGUUAUCAUCAAAAGAUAAAGGGAAAAAAGAGCCUAGGCUGAAAAACUUUGCAUGGUAAGUCAACAUAUUAGGAGUCUAUAUAUAGACAUAUACAAGCUCAACAUAAUAUAUCACCAAAAUAAGUUCAAAACGUUAUUGAAACAUAUAAUGAAAAGCUAAAUGUAUAUUUCAUGUACAUCACUUGCUAGUUCAGAAAAUAUUUAUACUUUCAAAGCUUUAAAAUAGUGGUUGUAAGCUUUAAAAUAAUGGUUGUUGCACUCUUAUGGACACCUAUAUAUAUAUAUAUAUAUAUUUUAUCUCUUCUUCCCUCCUUUUGGUUCUGAUUUUUCAAGGUAUUUAUAGAGUUUUUUUGAUAAAUUCAAUCAAAGAUUGAUCAUGAUCAAUGCUUGACUCUCUAAUCGAAAUAGGAGGGUUUUAUGAACCUUUACAACUAGGUUUUUUGUGACAAUAAUAAACUUGUAAUUAAAUGGAUUAACAUACUUAAAUUAAUGUUUUUUUAGCAUCUUCCAUGUUCUAUUUGCAUUUAACCUAUACUUAUCAAUGAAAACAUUAUUAAUGAUAUUAUCAUUGCCAUUAGCGUCAUUCUUUAUGGAAUCAUUAUCAACAUAAUUAUCAUUAAAAACAAUAUCAUAAAUUGAUAAAGAAUAUUAAUCUGCUUCUACCUCAUAAUAAAUAGGAUCACCAAAAUCUUUAUGAAAAGUCAAACAAUCACUAGGACUAUUCUAGAAAAGAAAGAAUGAUUGUCCACAAUUCAAAGUUUGAAUUUUGUAGUGCAUUUCCAGCAACUCGUAUAGUGUGUUAUAGCUAGAAAAGUUUGCCUAGAUUUUUCCAUUUAGGUUAGUUAAUAAUGCUAUAAAUAGCCAUGCAACCCCUAUAUAUGUAAAUACCUUUAUAUAAAAAUAGUUAUUAUGUGUAGUACAUUCCAUCAUUGUACUGUAUACAACUCUAAAGGUAUAAAUACAAAGGGAUGGUAGCUCUUAUUGACAAUCUUCACAAUUAUACAAAAGACUAUCUCUUAAUAGAUCUUAACUUGGUAUCACAGCAACAAAUCGUCCAGCAGCCUUCUCCCUUGCAUCCGGCUGGUUCUCUUCCUCCUACAUCUGUUAUAACUAGCAGCCUUAUUUCAUCUAUCUGCAACCAAUCGAGUGACCCUGCUACUGCCAUCAUCUUUGUCAUAACCCAUUUUUGGGCUCUUUCCAAUUCAUUUCUUUGAGAAAAAAAGAGAAAAGCAUGACGCAAUGUCGUUUUAAAUGGCACUGUGCAUGUUCUUCUUCCCUGCGAAUGCAGAGACAGGGGAGAAAAAGAUUUUUGAAAUGUUCUUUUUCCCACUCUCUCUCUCUCUCCACCCUAUUUGCCCAAGAAACCCAACAUAACUCAUACCCACACAACCAUGCCCUGCAACCAUUAUGGAAGAAACAUGAGACAAAGACCCAUGCCCUGCACUUGAAUAGGGUAUGGUGACCCUCUCCCUCGACAUUCUAUAAAUACAAGGUAAGAUUACAAGACAAAUGAGGGGUAUUUUUUAGAGAAGGAGAAGAAUAAACAAAAAUAGACGAGGAAGAAGAAGAAAAAAAACAGAGGCUAGUGCCUCUGCACGAGGAAGAAAAAGAAGAAAAAAAUAGAGGCUAGUGCCUCUGCACGGGGAAGAAGAAGAAAAAAACUCCCGCAAACACUGCCCUCCACUGCAAUAACCACGCAAAUCGUCGUCAACUUCCUCUUCUCCGCCACCAGCAUCAUCAUGAGCGUUAGCAAGUCAGCCUUUUGAAACAAAAGAAAAGGAGGAGAAGCAAAGGCUUGCGCCUCUACACAGGGAAGCUGAAGUAGCCAGAGAGGAGGAAAAGAGGAAACAGAAGAGAAAAGAGGAAGAACCACCAGUUGUUGUCCGCAUAGCCACCACCAGCUGCCACCUUCCUCCCUGUCGUCGAUAACAACACCUAUAUUAUGAGAAAUAGAAGAAGAAGAAAAAACAGAGACAGACAGAGGAAGCCACGCAGAAACAAAGAAAGAAUGAGAACCACUGUUUGGAACCAUCGGCCGCCGUGCCAUUUUUCCUCUUAAUCAUCAACAACAGCAGCCACUGCAGGUUAGCUUGAGUGAGGAGGAAGAAUGAAAAAGUACAGAAGGUAGAGGUGCCUCUACACUGUGAAGAAGGAGAAAAAAACGGCAGUAAACACUGGUUGCAGAGACAACAACACAACCAUCCCACCACCAGCAUCUUUGCCUAGGACCACCGUUAUACCACCACCACAGCACCGCCAAAGAUAGCAACCAUCACAGGUCAGCUCCCUUCUUCUUCUUCACCCUGGUCUCCAUUAUUCACGUAGCAUGUGAACAGUGGAGAGCCAUUAUUCAUGGUUGGGCCAAUUCUGGCUAGGCCGCAUAACUAGCCCGACCCACGUCAAAAUAGUUGGGCCGGAAAAAAAAAAAAAAAAACAUUUCAGAAAAUUUGUGAUUUCUCCGUGUAUUUUUUUUACUGAAUUUUCCUUAAUAUUGGUUUGUGUUUUUUAUAUCGUAAAGAUACAAAUCUAGUAUUAAAAUACCUGGUUUUCGUCAAAACAUUAGAAAAUUAAAAAAUAUAUAUUUAUUUUCAUGCAUACGGCCAAGUCUCUUAAAGAAAAAAUCAUAUUAUAUUUUCAUACAACAAAAAUCCAAUAAUAUAUAUUCACAUGCAUUUUGGUUUUAAUAACUUGUUUAUUAAAGUCACGAGAACUAUGCCAAUAUUUCAAAAAUUUCAAAAGAAUUAUUUUGUUUUCUUUUAGUAUCUGGGGUUACGACCUUAUACGUAAGACGUAUUUUGGAUAUUAAAUUCUUUCAUUGACGUUUGAAUGGUUAGGUUUAACCCGAUAAGAUAAGAAUCUCUUUACCGAGGAGGACUUUUCUUGAACCGUUGACAAACUAACAAUAAAAAAACACAACAAGACCUUAGUUUUUAUUAGACAAUUAAACAAUACAUCUUACCUUAGGUAGGCGUAUUUGGGGUGCUAAUACCUUUCCUUUAUGCAAUCAAUCUUCGUGCCUGAUCUCUUAAGAUCAAUUAAGGUUUCUAGUGACCAAAAUACUAGGUGGCGACUCCCAUUCCAUUUCUCCACUGAUAAAAGACAUGAAUUCCUUGUCUCCUCACAUUUACUAGAUAUAUAAAUAUACCUCAGAGGGGUGGACGAUCACCACAAUAUCGCACACGUGCGACAAUCUUCAUCUGUUAUAUUUUAGCAACCUUCUUUCUCUUAUCUUCAUCCUAUAUUCAUGUUCCUCUUAUGGACAAUCAAUAACUUCAACACUCUGCUACUGCUGCAUCAACACUUCAAUCUUCUUUCUCCCUUGUGGCGCCAUCAACCACCUAUGGUGCGUCCACUUCUGCUACUACCAUUAUACCUCUUCCUAACACACAACAAGUAAUUUCUUUAAAGCUCUCCAACACCAAUUUUUUUAUAUUAGAGGAUGCAGAUGAAACCGUUUCUUUUGGGCUAAGGCAUGUACCUCUUUGUUGAUGGCAAAUCACAAUGUCCUCCUACUCAUCUUGCAUCUGCUGCGACAUCUUUACCCUCUAUCAAUCCUGCAUAUUUGUCAUGGAAGCAACAAGAUCACUUAAUCAUGAAUGCCCUCUUAUCCUCUCUCUCGGUGGAAGUUCUGUAUUUGGUUGUGGCCUAUAACACCUCCCAUGAUAUUUAGAGAAUGCUGGAAACAACUCUUACCUCUCCUUUCAAUUUAAGAAUCAUACAAUUUCACAGUUCAUUCCAAGAUUUACGCUAAAAUGAUGAUUCUACCAGCAUCUACUUGCAGAAGGCAAAUGCCCUCUUUGUUGAACUUGCUGAGGCUGGAAAACCAAUCUCCUUGGCAUAAUUCAACUUAUAUGUGUUUGUGUUUCAAGGGUUACGUAGCGACUUUAAUGAUCUUGUCACCAUCUUGUCUACUAAGACUGAUCCUAUCUCCUACACUGAUCUUCAUUGCAGUCUUCUUAAGCAUGAAUUUCUCUAUAAAGCUGCUCUUCAACCUGCCAUAACAGCUCAUCUAUUACCAACUCCAACACAGCAACCAACUGCGUUCUUUGUGCAGCAUCACUCUAGUUUCAGUACUGACAGACAAGGUCGUUUUCGUGGUUGGAGACAUAACAAUGACAACAACUCUUAUCAUGGCGCCAAUCAUGACAAUGGCUCAGCUGAAUACUUCAGCACUCACAAUUAUACCUCAAGCCAACAAUUUGGACAAUAGGGACAUCGAUUUUCCUCUGGUUCUCCCUCUCGGAUAACAGGAAAAUUUGGGCAGCAAGGUAACCAUUUUGGUGGGUAUAAUUGCAAUGUAAAAUGUUAGUUGUGUUAUGAAUAUGGGCAUACUGCCCAACAAUGUUUUUAGUUGGCUACUUAUCCUCUCCAAGCCAAUGCCAAUCUCGCAUUUAAUAAUGCCCUUAUAACUACUCCUGUUACUUAGUUUCCUGAUAUAGGUGCAAAUCAUCAUGUAACGUUGGAUUUUGCCAAUACGAGGAGUUUAGAACCUUACCUUGGUAAUGAUCAUCUGCAUGUGGGUGAUGGUCAAGGCCUUGUUAUUUGGAAUAUUGCUCACUCUAAAAUUCGUUCAUCGAAACACACAUUUACUUUAUCUAAUAUUUUACAUGUUCCUGACAUUAAAAAACCUCUGCUAUCUGUUCAAAAGUUUUGUCUUGAGAAUAAUGUCUUCUUUGAAUUUCAUUUCUUUCUAUUUUAUGUGAAGGGCCACAUGACAAAGGAAGUGCUUCUUUCCGGUCGGAGUAGAGAUGGUCUAUAUGUUUUGUCCCAAUCGUCUACAACAUUGUUGCCUCAGGUUUUCUCAUUUUUAUGUCUUUUUACUUUCACUGAUGUCUGACAUCGUCAGCUUAAGCAUCCCAGUCCAUGCAUUCUGCAUUUUUUAGUGAAAAAUAAAAAGGUGUCAUAUACGUCAAAUCAAUUUAAUUUUAAUUUUCCUGUGUGCCAUCUAGGCAAGUUGUCUCAUCUUACUCUAAAAACUACGGGUCAUCAAACUCGAGCUCUUCUUGACUUGAUUUUUAAUCAUGUUUAGGGUCCCUCCCUUGUGUUGUCAUCUAAUGGUUUUUGCUAAUUUGGUAUCUUUGUGGAUGCUCAUACAAAGUUAGCCAUAUUUUGCUGGGUUUUUACUCGUUUAUCAAAUUAACUUGUUAGACAUGUAAUAAUUAUAAAAAUAAUUACAUUCAAGUCUUUUGGUACCCUCAAACCAAAUAAUUAAAUAACAACUCCUGGAUCUUGAUAUCGUGCUGCAUCAUGCGUGCACGGGCCACAAAGCUAAACACCAUCGAUUUCGUACAAAGACCUGGGAUACUGUGUAUAUUAUAGAAGGAGAAGGGAUCAAAACGACAAGGAAAGAGGCUUGUGAGAGCAUGAGGUACUUGAUGACGUAAUUUGCUAGAAUGUCAUGAAAUAAAUAACACGACUGGGAAACCCACCACACUAACUCCCUUCAGCCUUUUCUUACAACAAAUACUAGCGUUUCCACUCUGUCAGACCUCAGCCUUCAGAGUCCAAGAAGCGUAGCGAUACUUCAAGCAUCUUCCUUUUCACUUCAAGAAUGGCUGGUGAUCAAGUAACCCUGUUGGAUUUCUGGUCAAGUCCAUUUGGUAUGAGAGUGAGAAUAGCAUUGGCUGUAAAGGGUGUAAAGUAUGAGUCCAGUGAACAAGAUUUGUGGAACGAAGGUGCUUUAUAUUUUCAAAUGAAUCCUGUUCACAAGAAAAUUCCAGUUCUUGUCCAUGAUGGGAAACCUAUUUGUGAGUCACUUAUCAUUGUUCAGUAUAUUGAUGAGGUGUGGAAGGAGAAGGCUCCUUUGUUGUCUUCUGAUCCCUACGAGAGAGCUCAAUCUAGGUUCUGGGCAGAUUUUGUUGAUAAGAAGGUAUGGUGUUUUUUUGUUCGUCUUUUGUGUUUUCUAUUAUUGUUUGGUUUUGAGCCAUGACCUGAUUAAACCCACAUUGCAAUUUGAUUUUUGAUGAACUAUAUUUUCAUUCCUGUGAGUUCAUGAGAGUUAAAGUAGAUGUUUCUGUAUAAGGAUCACCAAAUUGAUUGGAUCUUAUUGCUUUAAGACGCACCAAGAAAACUUUAAGAAAUGACAUAUUUAAUGCAUUAAAGACAAGAUUAUGGAGAAGAUUGGUGCGCAUUUCUUGAUUAAAAAAAACCAUUUGUGCGCGCAAGUCCGGAUACUCAUGUUAAAAAAUAAAUAAAGAAUGUUAUCACCAUCUUUGAAUUUAUACUGCUUUGAAUUUCUAACCUCUCUAACGAUGAAUGGCUUUGCCUUCGUCUUUAGACAGAAAUGAAGUACAUUGUGAUUCCAUCUUUGACUUUUGUGAUUCCAAAAAUUCUAUGUGUGGUGAAUUUUUUUUAAAAGGAAAUUGUUUGUCUAAGUUUUAGAAAAUAAUAUAGCAUAAAAAAAAUUAGAAAAAAAAUAUAGUUCAAUAUAAUCAUGUUUUUAAAUAUUAAUUUUAUACAAUUAUUAUUGGAAAUAAUGAUUGUUUAGUUAAAAGAUAAAAUAUAUUAAUAAAAUUUUGGGGUUAAUUUUUUGUAUUUAUAAAUUAAUUUGCAUGAGAUAUAUAUAUUGAUUUUUAACUAAAUAACCGUUAUUUCUAAUAAUAAUAAUAAAAAAACACAGUUUUUUUAAACUGUUCUAUAUUUCCAUUGGAUGUAUUUGCCAAAACUCUUACCUAAUUAUGUGUGGUAACCAUUAUACUAAUUUGUUAUGCAAUGGUGUGAUAUGAACCUUCAGUUAUAUGAGCUUGGGAAGAAGAUAUGUACAACAAAAGGAGAAGAUCAGGAGGCAGCCAAGAAGGAUUUCAUUGACAGCCUCAAGCUUUUGGAAGGAGAGCUUGGAGACAAGCCUUACUUUGGGGGCAAGACCCUCGGCUAUGUUGAUGUAGCACUACUUCCUUUCUAUUGCUGGUUUUAUGCCUAUGAAACCAUCGGCAACUUCAAUAUAGAGGCUGAUUGUCCAAAGCUGAUUGCUUACUGCAAGAGGUGCUUGGAGAAAGAGAGUGUAUCCAAGUCCCUUCAAGAUCCACAGAAAGUCUAUGAUUUCGUUGUGAUGCUGAGGAAGAAGUUGGGGCUUGAGUAGUGUUCAUCCAUAGGCAAGGAGUUGCUAUUUCGUGUCAAUAAGUUGUACUUAUGUUGUGUGUGAUUUAUGUUUCAAAUAAGGCGGGCACUUAGUUGUGCCUGUAAUAUGUUUAUAUUCUGAGGUACUUUAUUGUGCCUGACAUAGUAUGUGGUUUUUCCCUUUGUAAUGUUUCCCUUCAAGUAUAAAUAGGCUGGCACCUCUUUGUUCAACUCGUCUAUGCCAUGCAGUCAAUAAGACAACUCUGCAAAACCGGCCAUACUAACUCACAUCAGCCCUUUCUUACUAUAAACACUCGCAUUUCCACAAUGACAAACCACAGCCUUUUUAGUCCAAGAAAACAAAGAAGCGUUACUUUACUUCAAGAAUCUGCUUUUUCACUUGAAGAAUGGCUGGUGAUCAAGUAACCCUGUUGAAUUUCUGGGCAAGUCAUUUGGUAUGAGAGUGAGAAUAGCAUUGGCUGAAAAGGGUGUAAAAUACGAGUACAGCGAACAAGAUUUGAGGAACAAAAGUGCUUUACUUCUUUAAAUGAAUCCUUUUCACAAGAAAAUCCCAGUUCUUGUCCAUAAUGGGAAACCUGUUUGUGAGUCACUUAUAAUUGUUCAGUAUAUUGAUGAGGCGUGGAAGGACAAGGCUCCUUUGUUCCCUUCUGAUCCUAACCAGGGAGCUCUGUCAAGGUUCUGGGCAGAUUUUGUUGACAAAAAGGUAUGUUAAUUUUUUUUGGUAAAUAAAGGGAUCAUCUUUUUGGUUUUUGAUUUUGUUUUGAUUUGAGGUAUGACUUGAUUAAACCCACAUUGCAAUUUGAUCAGUUUCUGAGAAUUAGAAUUUUACAUCAUCAGUACAAUUUAGCCCUAAGACUACUAUCAAGUAAAAUAUUGGUGUGAUAUGAAUCUGCAGAUAUAUGACCUCGGGAGGAAGAUAUGGACAGCAAAAGGAGAAGAUCAGGAGUCAGCCAAGAAGGAUUUCAUUGACAGCCUCAAGCUGUUGGAAGGAGAGCUUGGAGACAAGCCUUACUUUGGGGACGAGAGUACCCUCGGCUACGUUGAUGUUGCACUACUUCCUUUCUAUUACUGGUUUUAUGCCUAUGAAACUAUCUGCAACUUCAAUAUAGAGGCUGAGUGUCCGAAGCUGAUUGCUUACUGCAAGAGGUGCUUGCAGAAAGAGAGCGUAUCCAAGUCCCUUGAAGAUCCACAGAAAGUCUCUGAUUUCGUUGUGAUGAUGAGAAAGAAGCUUGGGCUUGAGUGAUGUGGUUUUUCUCUUUGUGACGUUUGCCUUCAAGUAAAAAGACGGUCUUCGUUGCCCGUUGGUUCUUGAUAAAUGUAGAUAUUUAUCCUCUUAUAGAAAAAUCAUUUUAACUUAAAAAUUUAAGGUAUUAAAAAAAAUUAAAAAUUAUUUAUUCUACUUUUUAAUAUUUUUAAGCUUAAAACUUAUAAAAAAUUACAACUAUUUUUUAUUUUAUUAACUUAAUAUUUGAUAAAAUAAGUAUAAUUGGAUUUAAAUUGAUCAAAAAUAUUUUAGUUUAAAAUUUUAAAUUAUUAGAUAAGAGGUAUUGCACAACUGUUUAUCAAUAAUUCACUAAAAUGGUUAUUAAUUUAUUUAACUAGAUGCUUUCAUAGAUUUUUUAUUUAUAUUUUGAAUUUUUUUAUAUGUGAAAGCACAUGUAAUUAAACAACUUGCAUAAUUAAUUUUUUUUUUAAUUACAACAUGUAACAGAACUAGUUUAAAAAAAUUGUGCACUUAUCUAAAAUGUUCUGAACUUGAAACUCUAUAAAGGACAACCAUGUAAGUUAUCAUCAAAAGAUGAAGGGAAAAAAGAGCCUAGGCUGAAAAAACUUUGCAUGAUAAGUCAACAUAUCUAAGUCUAUAUACAGACAUAUACAAGCUAACACAAUAUAUCACCAAAACAAGUUCAAAACAUUAUUGAAACAUGUAAUUAAAAGCUAAAGGUAUAUUUCAUGAAAAAUAUUGAUACUCUUAUAUAUACCAACCAAAAAACCUCCCCUUUUAUCAAUCUCCCCCUCCCAACCCAGGUCCAAGCAACCUUCUUCAAACCUCCCUCAUGCAACACAACCUCACAAACACCUGUAAACGCCCCUCUUAAGCAUCCAAAACACCCCCCUUCUUUUCCCUGUUACCCUAAACCUUUUGAAACCUUUGAUUUCACAAACAACAAACACUUCCCUAACACAACUCCAUUGCCCUCCGUCUCUUUUAAGUUUUAUUUUGAAUGUUUCACAUCUUGGCUAAAUUACCAAGAUCUUAAUAGGGAUUUUUCAAAUAUUAGUCAUGUCAUCAACCUCUUUGUUUCCAAGAAAACAACAACAUGAAGGAGACGGUUUAGUUUUGUAUCUUUCUUCUCCCCUUUAGAAGAAACAGACCUUUGUGACAGUUUGAACCUUAUAUGGUUCAACUCUUUCAAAAUUCAUGCAAAACUAGCAUGAUUUCAAACCCUUAAAGAUUCCGGGAAAAAUACAGCCCUUACUAUAAAGCUAGAAACAAAAAAUCAUGUCCAAACUAGCCUUCAGAGACAACAAGACCUUUGUUGAAGCUCUCUCAGUCAAAAAACCAUAAAAAAAGGCAUGGUGUAUGAGCCUAUACAUGAUGACAAGGAAUGGCUUCUGAGAAGUUUAGUAGGUUUAUAGCCAUAGAAGUUGACUCUACUUAACUGGAACAUAUGGUUUUGAAAAAUGUAAAAAAGGCAAUCAACUUUCACUUUCUAAUAGUAAGCUAAGUAGUUAUCACCUUUACAGACAACGAUUCCAUGGAGAAGGAAUUAAUAAAUAGUAGCUCUGUGGAAAACCAUUUCUCUUAUCUCGAACCAUGGAGAAGGGAAGUAAAAAUUGUAGACAAAUUUGUUUGGGUGUCUAUUUUGGGGCUUCCUCUUGUAGGAUAAAACCUCAGAUGUAUUGAAUCCAUUAUAGAAGAUGCAGACAAGAUGGUUGGAUACAACACUACAAGCAUGAGCCAAGGUUAUGUAUAGGAGUUAAGGUCCUUCUAAGCACAACCUCUUUUACAACUUUAAACUAACUAUUUUUGCUAAUCCUAGAUGAAGAUGAAUUUGAUAUAUCAAUCAUGGAAAUGAAACCAUUUUUAGUCCCCUUCUUACCACAAUCAAAUACUCAAUGGAUACAUCAGGCACCGAAGAAUCAAAUGAAGAGACAUACAACAAAUUUACACCUUCAGAAGAGUUUACGCCGACCAGUAUAAAUGAUCAAGAUGUUGAUCAACAUGUUACAACCACCACCUUAACAGAGCAACAAGACAAUGACAUGAAAAGUGACCCCUCUCUCAUUCUGCACAAGGCAUACUAGACCACCCAACAACCUAGACUUCUCUAACACAACAUACAAAACCUUCUGCCUUUUCCCUAAAACUAAGGAAACAAACAAACUAUAGAUGAAAAAUCAGCAACUGCACACCACCUCAAACCAAAAGAGAAGAAGCUUAGAAGAAUCAGAAGAUUCACACCUAAAUCUUCAUUCAAAAAAUGGAAGAAUAUGAUGAAAGUUAGAUCUUUUGCGGCUCAUGUUGGUAUAUUAGAUAGGGCACCCAAUCUUCUUGCAACGGAGGUAACCAAUACUCAAAAUAACACACCUCUAAAAGACACCAUGCCAUCCCCUAAUAUUAAAUAAUAUGAUGUUGGAAAAGAAGAUAAAAACCCUAUCUAUGCCUCUAUGAAUGAUGAAACCAAUGGCAUGCAUUUCCAUCUACCACCCUUAUUGAAUCCUCAAAACAGCCAACAAACCUCUUUAGAAGUGACCAAUGAACACACAUAUAAGGAUAAAAGAAAAAUAAGAAAACUGAAGUUGUUGCAAGCUAGUGGUAGUGUUGCUAACACAACGAAGGAUUGUAAUUCUUUAGACUCCCUAAACUCAGGAAUUUAACAAGGAAAUGUUUGGUUCCAAAUUACUUGUAUGAAGGAUUAAGACAAUGGUUUUGAGAGUGAAAAAGAGACUUAAGAAAUGAUACAUGAAGUAGUGGCUUUGGGUCUAGGAAAAACUCAAGAACUCAAACUAUAUGACGAAGGAAUAAAAGGAAACAUUGACAGAGAAGUAGAUGAGUGGACAUCAGUCAAUCAGUUAUAAGUUUUUUGCCUUGCUAAGUCUAGUCUAUCUUAGUCUUUGCUCUUUCUCUAUGAAUAUCUUUGCUAGGAACAAUUGUGGUUUAAGUAUGUCACACAAACAAAAUACAAUUCAGAAUAGGCUUAUAAACAAUAAUGUUGGUAUUUGUUUUCUCUUAGAAACAAAGAAAAAUAACUAUUGUGACUCCUUCAUUUGAAAUUUGUGGAAUAUUGUAACUAUCAAAUGGGCUUUUCUAAGUUUUAUUUCAUGUUAUAUUUUUCUUAAUCUCUUGUUUAUGCUUUUCAUUUCCUUUACUAUACUUAUGUUCUUAUGUUUUUUAUUUAUGUUUCUCUUCUUCAUUAUGUUUAGCCUAAGUUUAUUAUGUCAAGGUGAAAAGGUUUCACUAAUGAUGUUAGAAUAUGUAUAAUAUAAACUCAACAUGAACUUCAAUGUUUGUAUCCAAGAAAGUUUGUUACUAACAUGUCUUAUCUUUUUAUCUUACUAAUUCUUAAUUCCUUGCUUGUUAAAUGGUUAAUCUAGAUUUGUGUUGUAUAACACUCGGUACAACAAAUGCUUAGCACUUUCAUAAUUAACCGUAUGGUAUAACCUACACCUAUGCUAUGAAAGGAACUUGAUUUGUUGUUAACAUAAGUUAAUAUCAUAAAUUCCUGACAAUAUUUAAAAGUAUGGUGUUACUAAAAUAAGAUAAUUAAUAUGAUCAUGUUAAAAAUUUAUAAUAAACUAUUAAGGAUAAAUAAUUCGAUUGGAACCUCCUUUGUGUGUAGUUUCUAGUUAAUUAAUAAAAAGAGUUUAUACUAUACUUAUUUCUAAUACUAUUAGUAGAUCCUUUGACCUUAACAAUUCCUUUUAUCAUUGUUGAAUCCUCACAUUAAUCUUACAUCUCAAAUUCCUCUUUAACUUAUUAUUAUUAUUAUUAUUAUUAUUAUUAUUUAUAAUUUAUAUAGUUAACCUACCUAUGGUUUGACCCCGGUCUUACCGGAUUAUUUAUUAUUUCGACACUCCUGCACUUGGGAGAAAACAUCAAUCUUUUGGUCGUGUCAAUGAUCAUCCCCAUUGUCCUCCAGUGUUUUCUUCUUUAUUUUUCUCAUUUGAGAGGAUAAUUCUUUAACUUGCCUUUGCAACUUUAUCGUUGCUAGUCAAAACAUUAAUUAUAUCAUUUUUAUUUGUAUCACUAGCUCCUAACAUCUCUUUCCUGAGAUAAAAACCUCCAUAUCCCCUUACUUGAGCACAUCCUGUUUUGGGACAACAUAUUCAAGCCAUGUUUAUUCAUUAGCAUAUAAGCAACACAAAAAAUCUAUCGAACAAGGUCACCACACUAAAACCCUCAUAUUUCUCUAGUAGUCUUCUAAAAUUAAAGCUAAGAAACCCUAUUUAUACUAGCCUCGAGCCUAAACUAAAUAAGAAAAAAAUUUCUAAACUAAAAACAAUAAUAAAAACACCAUAAAAAUAUUUUUAUAAACUAAAUAUAACAAUAAAAAUAACUAAGAAAAACAAAACCUCUUCUAAAAAUCAUGCAACAUCAAUAAUCCAGGUCUUUCUAUGGAGAUUUUAGUGUGGGCCUUAUAAAAAUUAGGUAAUUAAGUUAUUUGGAGAUUGGAUGUUUUAAAUUUUUUGGUGUGUGUAUGUGUAUUUGUUGAGAGAGAGAGAGAGAGAGAGUUUAUUACAUCUCCACUUAAACAAAUAUUUUAUUUUGAACUCUAAUAAGUGUUAGAGUAUUUCAUAGGGGAGACAAAUACUUCUAUUAACAAUAUUCUAGUCACCACUUCUGUAUUAUAGAUUGAGAAGAUGUUGCCAAUAUAUCUAUUAAUUGGCUAAUAUAUUCUUAUACCAAUUAACAUAACAUAUAACAUAGACAAGAUUUCUCAAUCCCUAAAUUAAUUAUCCAAUAAUGGUGUAUUACAUCAUUUUUUCAAGAAAAUAUAUAAAAAAGAAAUAUAAAAAGUGAAUUUUAUCUUCAAAUGGAAAAAAGGAAAAAUAUUUCUUCAUCCUUUGAUCAUUGACACGACCAAAAGAUUGAUGUCAUCUUCCAAGUGCAGGAGUGUCGAAGUAAUAAAUAACCCGGUAAGACCGGGAUCAAACCGGUGCAGGGAGGUUAAUUGUAUAAAUUAUAAAUAACAAUAAUACAACAAUAAUAAUAAUAACAAUAAUAGUAAUAGUAAUAGUAAUAGUAAUAAUAAUAAUAUUACUAAUAAUAAUAGUAAUAGUAAUAUAAUAAUAAUAAUAAUAAUAAUAAUAAUGAAGAAGAAGAAGAAGAAGAAGUUGAUGAGAAUUUUGAGAUGGAAGAUCAAUGUAAGAAUUAAACAAUGAUAAAAACAAGUGUUAAGUCUAGAGGAUUCACUAAUGGUAUUUCAAACAAAUAUAGUAUAAACUCUUAUUACUCAACUGAAAACCACACAUAAAGGAGGUUCCAAUCGGAUUAUAAAUUAUUAAUAUGAUUAAAUUAGUUAUCUUAUUCGAAUAAUGCUAAUACUUGUGAUUACGGUGAGGAGGACAUCUCUUUAGGUGUUGAUCAUGGUGAGGCAUCUGCGCCAACUUGUGAUGUUGCCUCUUUUAGCUCGGUUUCACAGCAUAGAGGCAGUGUGGCUUCACAUCGAUGUCAAUUCACCCGCAAGUACCUGGCACAGUGGAAGGAUGACCUCUUAAUGUAAGUUUGUUUAGGUUUUAGUUUUUUUUAUAUAUACUUAUAACAUAAUUUAUGAACAACUAAUUAAUAUUUUAUUAGUUUUAUUUAAUUUCAGGUUCACAAACAUUAAGGCUUCCAGGACAAUAACAUCAACGGUUAAAUCCUCGAUGGAGAUUCCAUUAUUUCAAUGGAGUCAAGUCUCCAAACAUCUUGAGUGGAGACCUAAUAUCAAUGCCUAGUUUUGGCGAUUUCAGGUAGGUGUUAAUUUUAAAUUUCCAGUUUAUUUUUAAUAAAUAAUUUUUCUAAUUUUAUAUCUUGUAAUAUUUUUAUUUUAAAUGAAUUAUUUAUAUACACAGAAUAAAUUUGAUUGAGAUAGCGCGAACAACAAUGUUGUUAGGAGGGUAUGAGAGAAUCACGCGACAAAUAGGUAACAUCAAAAAUAAUAUUUAUUUUUAAUUUUUAAUUUUAUGUUCUAAAUUCUAAUUAGUUACUAUGGAAGUAGGUUGUGUGAUUUUUGGUAUGACAUCCAAAAAAAGGCGAAAAGAAAUGCGAGGGACAACGACCUUGAAGGAUGGAAGGAGGUGGCAGUUUUGUCGGAAUUCAAACUGCUAUUCAUCUCGGGAGAUAUAUGGGUGGCAUAAAUUGAGCACGUGAUGUCUGAGCGGUUCUCACGACGCUCACAGUCUAGAGCCAACAAUCAAAACUGACAAAUUCAUGGUUCGGUGACCACGCACACUGGCGAUUCCGUCCAGUUUAGCGCAUAUUUGAAGCAGAUGGUAAGAUUAAUUUAAAUGAAAUAUAUUGUUAAUUAAUUUGUUAUUGCUUAUAAAUAUAUUUAACUUGCAACUUUUUAUUUUCUUACAGGCUACGUCUCUUGGACAUGAGCCGAGUCCAAUGAAGCUAUUUGUAGAGACGCACGUGCAAAGUCAAGACUGCCAAAAGGGGGUGCAACAGCACGUGGACACCCGUGCUCAACACUUCAAUCAUUUUAUUUUGUAAGUUAUUGUUUUCUUGAAUUGAAUAUGAUGAUUUUUUUAAAAAAAUUCAGGAGACCUAUAAUAGCCGGUUGAGGGAGAGAUAUGGGGACGAUCCUUCGACCCAUCCGGAUUUUGAUCUGGAUUUGUGGAUGGAGGUCGGAUCGUCUGGUGGACCCGAUAAAAAUAAGAUCUACGGCCUCUCCAACACUACGGCCAAAAACUUGCGGUCGGCCCGUAGUGUCUUAACCAUUAGGAGCUCUCCAUCAGUAUUAAGUACACAGUUAGAGGAGUUCAUUACCUUGAAACAAAAAUAUCAACGCCUCUCAACGGAUUAUGAUCAGCUCCGUCAAAUGGUUAUGGAGAUUAGAUUAAAGAUGGGAGAUGAUCCAUGUGCUCCCUUUUGGUCGUACGGUCCCGGCAACAACCAGCCUCCUCCUCCUUUAAUUCCGCCACUAUUUUAGUUUAUUUUUGUUUUUAUUAAACAUUAAAUUUGUAAUGAAUAUUUGGAUUAAUAUUAUUUAACAUUAUUUAUACAUUUUUAAUGUUUAAUACAAAUUUAUUUGGUUAUUAAGUUUUUUUUCCAGUUAAUAAAUAAUUGUUUUUUGUAAUUUAAAUAAAUACCGAUGGAUUUCCAAACGGAAACAUCCGGUCGAUAUUAUACCGAGUGUUGCAAAAAAAUUACCGUCCAUGCCAUAUUCGCUGACGGAUAUAUUUUGUCGGUAUUUUCCAUUACAAUUACCGAUAGAUAUAUUUCAUCGGUAUUUGACAAGGAAUUCUAAAAUAUUUAUUGUCCUUUCCACAAUCACCGACGGAUAUUCCGUUGGUAAAUACCGUUGGAAACACAGAUGGAGUUGUUCCGUUGGUAAAAUUCUUGCGGGUAAUGUUUUUUUUCUUGCGCGCUUUGCCGUCUGUAAUACAGUCGGUGUUCCGUCAGUAUUUUUUUUUUUUAAUUACCGACAAAAUUGACGACGGAAUGAAAAAUUACCGAUGAUCAAAAUUCCAACAGACAGAUUCCAUGGAAUUAGACCUUAGUUCACUAGCAUUUAUGAGAAAAUUUACAUCUGAUCUCAAUUCCUCAGGUUGUCCUUUGAACCUCUUAAUACAGGGGAAAAUAUAAACCUUGAUGGUAGAUAGUAUUUUGUAUUUGUCUCAUCCUACUCUCAUUGGUUUCAUGAUUAUAUAUUCAUUCAUGCAUAGCUUUCCCGAGGUUUCUUAAGCUUGCUUAGAUAGCGUUUGGGAAUGCGGUGCAAACCAUGUUCUAAAAAAAAAUUAAUUUUUUUAUAAAAAUUUAAUAUGGUUUGUAUGUUUUGGAUCGUUUUGACGUGCUGAUGUCAAAAAUAAUUUUUAAAAAAUGAAAAAAAAAUCAUUAACAUGCAUUUCAGCACAAAAAAGUUAUUUGAAAAGUAACCGUUACCACACUGAGAAACACACUUUUAGUUUAAUAAGUUAUAGAGUGAUGAAGUCAUGAAAAAAAUUUAGAUAAAAAUUAAGCUUUCCAUGAUUAAACACAACUAUUUUAUUGAAAACUUUAAAAGAUAGAAAUACAAUUCCUAGAAAAAAUCCGGAGAUUAUCUGAUAUUAGAUAGCUUAUCAGCCACGAUAUAUUUGAAGGCUAACAAACAUCACAGGGAGAAAAAACACAUCCCAAGCCAGGUACAACAAAGUACCCUCAGAAUACAAACAUAUUACAGGCGCAAGCAAGUGCUAGCCUUGUUUGAGACAUAAAUCACACAAAAACAAAACAUAAGUAUAACAUAACACAGGAAAUAACACCUCCUUGUCUAUGGCUACUCAAGCCCAAGCUUCUUCCUCACCAUCACAGCGAAAUCAUAGAGUAUCUGAGGAUCUUUUAGAGACUUGGACACGCUCUCUUUCUGCAAGCACCUCUUACAGCAAGCAAUAAGCUUCGGACAGUCAGCUUCUAUAUUGAAGUUGCCGAUGGUUUCAUAGGCAUAAAACCAGCAAUAGAAAGGAAGUAGUGCUACAUCAACGUAGCCGAGGGUCUCGCCCCCAAAGUAAGGCUUGUCUCCAAGCUCUCCUUCCAAAAGCUUGAGGCUGUCAAUGAAAUCCUUCUUGGCUGCCUCCUGAUCUACUCCGUUUGUUGUCCAUAUCUUCCUCCCAAAGUCAUAGAUCUACAGAUUCAUAUCACACCAUUGUAAAACAAAUUAGUGACUUUUUAGAAUCACAGAGGUCAACGGUUGUACCAGUACUUGUAAUUUUUGUCUAGCCAAUAACUGUUACAGAGGGUAGAAAUUCAAAUACGGCUAAUGCAGCAACUAAUUAAGAUGGUGUGUAACGUCUUAUUUACUUUGCUGCGUUGAAAGUGACAAAUAAUUAAGUAAUAGACGGAAGGCUCAUCGUGACUUUUUUUUUUUAAUCAAGGGAAGUUCACCAAUAGGAAAACCUCAAUAAUGUCACCACCGAUGAUAUAUUUUUGGAUACUUGAAGGUGACUACUGACUACCCACCAAUAUAACAAAAGCAUCAUCACCCAAGCCCAAAAUCUUAUCCUUAAUCCAAUAAAUAUGAUAUUUUUAAAGUUUUAUUGGGGCGUCUUAAGGUUGUUGGACCCAACCAAUUAGGUAAUCCUUGUACAGAAACAUCGUGCCAAACUCUACUUCAAUUAUCAGGAACUAACAAGAGUGACAAUAAUGACCAGAAACUUUAAUGGCUAAUUUCUUACAUAAAAAAAAUAAAUUUCGUGCCCAAGAACACUUGAAAUUAACUUCAAACAGACUUUUCCACCAUUCCAUAUUGUGAUGCCGAAUUUCUUCCUUGAUAUGAUAUUAGUCUCGAGGGCUAAUUGUACUCGUGAUGUAAUAUUCUAAUUCUUCCAAGCUUAUCAAAUUGCAUAGUAGGUUUAAUAAUGUCAUACCUCAAAAUAAUAAUUUUAAAACCCGGCCCAAUCUGACAGGUUAAUUUAAAAUCUGACUGACUUGAGACUAAAACCGGGUUGAAGUUAUAAAUAAAUAAAGGUUAGUAAAAAUCUAGCUGACCUGACAAAACCUAGUCAAAAACUCAGUUAAAACAUGUUAACUAUUUUUUUUACUAAAACGAUAUCAUUUUGAUUUAUACAAAAAAUAGGGUUGACCCGAGUUACCCAAUGACUCGGUCAAAACCCGUGACCCGAGCCUUGGGCCGGGUCAAUCACCGGGUGGGAUUUAAAUACACUGUUCAAAACUGCAAAAAAUCAAAAACCAAAUAGAUCAACCAUUUAAGAACAAAAAACAUACCUUUUUGUCAACAAAAUCUGCCCAAAACCUAGACUGAGCUCUCUCGUAAGGAUCAGAAGGCAUCAAAGGAGCCUUGUCCUUCCACACCUCAUCAAUAUACUGAACAAUGAUAAGUGACUCACAAACAGGUUUCCCAUCAUGGACAAGAACUGGGAUUUUCUUGUGAACGGGAUUCAUUUGAAGAAGCAAAUCACUUUUGUUCCUCAAAUCUUGUUCACUGUACUCAUACUUUACACCCUUUUCAGCCAAAGCUAUUCUCACUCUCAUACCAAAUG
rnacentral:lncRNA from 1 species